UACGAAGGGGGCUAGCGUUGUUCGGAAUUACUGGGCGUAAAGCGCGCGCAGGCGGCCGAUCAAGUCAGGGGUGAAAGCCCGGAGCUCAACUCCGGAAUUGCCUUUGAAACUGAUCGGCUUGAGUACGGGAGAGGUGAGUGGAAUUCCCAGUGUAGAGGUGAAAUUCGUAGAUAUUGGGAAGAACACCGGUGGCGAAGGCGGCUCACUGGCCCGUUACUGACGCUCAGGCGCGACAGCGUGGGGAUCAAACAGG
rnacentral:rRNA from 2 species